rnacentral:rRNA from 1 species
UACGAAGGGGGGCUAGCGUUGUUCGGAGUUACUGGGCGUAAAGUGUGCGCAGGCGGCCGCGCAAGUCGAGUGUGAAAGCCCCGAGCUUAACUUGGGAAUUGCGCUCGAAACUACGUGGCUGGAGUGUGGCAGAGGAAGGUGGAAUUCCAGGUGUAGCGGUGAAAUGCGUAGAGAUCUGGAGGAACACCGAUGGCGAAGGCAGCCUUCUGGGCCAACACUGACGCGUCAUGCACGAAAGCGUGGGGAGCAAACAGG